AGUUUGAAAGUGUGUAGCUCUUCUGCCUUUGUGUGCUUUCUCUCUCUCCUGCUUCCAAGUCAAGAUGUGCUGGCUUCUCCUUUGCCCUUCUGUCAUUAUUGUAAGUUUCAUGAGGCCUCGGAGCCACGCUUCCUGUAUAGCCUGCAGAACUGGAGUCCUCCAGGGAUGGCCAUACCUUUCUCUCCAAGAGCUUUGGCGAACUCUACUCCAAUCUGAACAGGUUACUCAAUGUGAAGAUGACAACAAGGGUGAAGACUUUAAUGAUGAUCCACUUCCACUUAAAAAAUAAUAAAUAUAUUUUCUCCUCCUUAUGAUUUUUAACAUUUUAUUUUCUCUAAUUUGCUGUAAGAAUAUAGUGUAUAAUACAUAUAACAUGAAAAAAUAUGUUAAUCAACUGUUUAUGUUAUCAGUAAGGUUGGCAGUACACUACUAGAAGUUAGGAUUUUGGGGAGUCAAAAUUUACAUGUGAAUUUUUGACUGCCUGGGGGGGUCAGACCCUAUAAUCCCCAAGUUCAAGAAUCAACUGUGUACCUCCUUUUCUCCAUCCAUUCAUCAUCUGAUGGACAUGUAGAAGUUUUGCUUUUUUAUCUUACCUUUUAUUAUAUAUUUAUAUUUACCAUCUCUCUAAAAUUGACUUAUGUGUGCUUAUGAAUUUAAGAUUCAUUUUUCCUUUAUGAAUAUUAAAUUGACACAGACUUAUUUAAAAAGCCAUCUUUUUCCCACUGUAUUAGAGUGUUUAUAAAUUAUGCAUUAGGUCUCAUAUAUACGUGAGUUUCUGACCUUUCUAUUUUGUUUUAGUUGCAUAUCUGAUUAACCUUGUAACAAGUCCAGAAAAUUUUAAUUAGAAUAGGGUGAUAAUUAUAAUCUAAGUUAUCCAAAUAUUUUAGCUUUUGUUUCUUCUUAAGAAUGCCUAGAUUGUACUUGGCCCUUGCAUUUCCAUAAACUUAUUUUUAUUGAGCUUGUCAAUUUCUUUUGAAAAAUGACUGAGAUUUUUAUUGGAUUUACAAUGGAUAUAUAGGUCACUUCAUGGAGAAAUAUCUUUACAUUGAAUCUUCUAUUCCAUGAUGUUUACAAUGUACAUUCCACUCCAUUUAUUUAGACCAUCUUAAUAUUUUCAAUAAUUUGUAGUUUCCUUUGAAGAAAUAUUGUACAUUUUUGAGAGAUAUUCAAUAUUUCAACGUUUUCUUGAAGAUAGUGUAAAUGGCUUGUUUUUUCUGUUUCUAUAUCUUUUUACUUGGGGUACAUCUGAAUUUGCCGGGAAUUGUGACUACUCAUUUUUAGAUUUUCACUCCUAGUAUAACUGAAUGUCUAAUCUCCAUUGUAUUAGUCCAUUUUCAUACUGCUAUAAAGAAAUACUUGAGACUGGGUAAUUUAUAAAGAAAAAGAGGUUUGGCCGGGUGCAGUGGCUCAUACCUGUAAUCCCAGCACUUUGGGAGGCCGAGGUAGGUGGAUCACCUGAGGUUAGGUGUUCAAGACCAGCCUGGCCAAUAUGGCAAAACCCUGUCUCCACUAAAAAUACAAAAACUAGCUGGGUGUGGUUGUGCAUCCCUGUAGUCUCAGCUACUUGGGAGGCUGAGGCAGGAGAAAUGCUUGAACCUGGGAGAUGGAGGUGGCAGUGAGCCAAGAUCAUACCACUGCACUCCAGCCUGGGUGACAGAGCGAUACCCUGUCCACCAAAAAAGUAAAAAAAAAAAAAAAAAAGGUUGGGCACGGUGGCUCACACCUGUAAUCCCAACAUUUUGGGUAGCCGAGGUGGGCAGAUCACCUGAGGUCGGCAAUUCGAGACCAGCCUGACCAAGGUGGAGAAACCCCAUCUCCACUAAAAAUACAAAAUUAGCCGGGUGUGGUGGUGCAUGCCUGUAAUCCCAGCUGCUCGGGAGGCUGAAGCAGGAGACUUGCUUGAACCUGGGAGGCAGAGGCUGCAGUGAGCCAACAUCAUGCCAUUGCACUCCAGCCUGGGCAACAAGAGUGAAACUCUGUCUCAAAAACAAAAAAAAAAAAAAGAAAGAAAGAAAGAAAGAAAAGAAAAAAGAAAGGAAGGUUUAAUGGCCUCACAGUUCUACAUGGCUGGGAAGCCUCACAAUCAUGGCAGAGGUGAAGGAUGAGCAAAGGCAUGUCUUACAUGGUGGCAGGUGAGAGAGCGUGUGCAGGGGAAUGGCUCUUUAUAAAAACAUAAGAUCUUGUGAGCUUUAUUCAGUAUCAUGAGAACAGCACAAGAAAAACCCACCCUCAUGAUUCAAUUACCUUCCACCAAAUCCCUCCCAGGACAUGUGAGGAUUAUGGGAGCUACAAUUCAAGAUGCGAUUUGGGUGGGGACACAGCCAUACCAUAUCAUCCAUGAAACCUUAAAUUCUUCUGUAAGCCAAUAUCUUCCAUCUCUCUAUAAAUUCCCCCCCAAUUAAUUUGUCACCUUCAAAUUUUUUACUACCUUUGGCAUAUCCUUCAUUUCCAAGUAUUAUUUAGUAGUGUAUCUAAUAAAGUACAGUUUUCUUUAGUAUCUUAUUCAUCAUAUAGUCCAUGUAGCACAAUUUCCUACCUAGAAAGCUUCAAUAGAGCUUUGUUAAUUGUCUAGAGAAGAUAAAUGAGAAGCUGAAAAUAAAGAGAUAGACUUGGCAAUCGAUGAAACUGGUACAAUAAUUUGUGUGUGUGUACUUCCUUCUCCUCUCUCCAUUCUUCACUCUCUCACCCUGCCUGCCAGAUAAACAAUACUCAUGAAAAGUCACUCUUCUCACCUGAACCCUUUAGCAAGGCCCCUUGUUCCAUUUAGGGACUGAUGUCUUGUAACAAACAUCACUGUCUGCUGAGGGGAAGGAUUUCUCCAAACUCUGAUGGAGAACUGGUUGGGCAGACCACAUUCACUUUGUGAGAAAGUUAUGUAUGAUGUGGAGGCUCAGUUUCUUCAUCUGGAAAAUGUAAAGCAGUUAUAAAAUGUACUGAAUUGACUUAAGUUCCUUCAUGUUACUCAUAAAAAUGCAUGGUAAAUAUUUUUAACCUAAGGUACUAAAUGCUUAUAUUAUCAUUACUAAAUUAGUAUUAGAUGCUUGCUUGCACCAGAAUAGUACACCACAGAGAUAUUAAGCAUAAAAUAACAUUUCAUAGGCAACCUCUUAUUCUGCCUUUGCAUAUCACCUUUCUUACACAUGAGUGGGUUUAAACUCUAACAUUUUUCCACUUUCGCAAAAAGAUUGUAUGCAUCAUAAUAAUAAUUGAGGAUCUUCUAAAAAGCACAUAUUUCUGCUUACCAGGGUUUGCUUAUAUGCUUUCUACUUAAACUGUGGAGACGUUACCAGGUUAAGAAAAUAAAAAUACAAGAUGCCCAGUCAAAUUUGAAUUUUAUAUUGCAUCAUAUCAAAUUUACGUAUAUCAAACAAUUUUGUUCAUGCAAUAUUUGGGACAUUGCUAAAAAUGUAUUGUUUAUGUCAUAUUCAAAUAUAACUGCACAUUCUGCAUUUUAUUGUCAAUCUUAACUGAUCUUUUGAAAAAUCUAUUUGGAGAAUUCCCUGGCUUUCUUCAAGAUCAUCUCUAGGGAGGGAUUUCAGGUGAGUUAACAGAAAUCUUAGAAGCAAUUACCGGAGGUAUAUAUAAUUUUCCCCUUUCCUUAUCCCACAAGUGGGCAACCAACCUGCAUCUGAACUCAGGUAUUUCACCUGUCCUCUGGUUACUGUGACGUCUUCCUUCCUAAGCUCAGCCUGUCAUUCAACUAGGGCACUUGCUCCUAAGGCUUCUCUUACUUAAUGACUUGCUUUCACAUUUAUUCUUUCUUCUACAUUGCUAAUUUGUCCUUCUCUACUGGAUUACUUUCAUUAUUUAAAAAAUCCUCUUGAUCUUAUAUCUUCCUUAAUUGAUACCUCAGUUAUAAAAAAUCUAUCAAAGUACUGGGUACAAUAGCAGUCUCCCCUCAUUCACUUUCCAUUCUCUCCUCUGAUGACUCCAGAUAGUAUUAUAUUUUCCAUUACAGUUGAUCUCCUUUGCCAGAUGGUAAAAAGGUGAGCUUUGUCAGUGGAAGGUGCUGAGGGACAGUACAGAACGUAAAGGGCUCUUCCUUGAUUCCCUGUGUUUUGUUCCUAUAGACCCUACUAAAUAAAGACAGCUACAGGCAACCUUUAUGUUACUUUUCUAAAAAAGUGUACUUUCUGAAGUGACGUAAUUUACAAAACUCAGAGAAGAAAACAGAAUAAGAAAGAAAAACAAACUACCACAACACCAUAAUUCAGAGAUAAUUUUUAUUGACAUUUGGGUAAAUAAAUACCCUUACAAAAAAUUUCAAGCAUAAAUAAUAUAUGGUAUUAAAGAUAUAAAUUUUAAUGCUAAGUAACUUUUUUUAACUUACUGUCUCAUAAAAUAAUGUCAUUAAUAAAUACGACUUAUAAUAUCAUCUUCCUGUCUGCUUAAUCUCUCAAUAUUUGAAUUGCAUAAAUUAUUUAAAUAAUUAUUUUAAAUGUAUUUCUUAAAUGACUAAACUCCUUAUCUAGAUUUUGAUUUUAAGAAAAUAUAAAGAACAAUUUUAAAAAUAUGCACACAUAUAUAGGUAGAAAUCCCUUGUUGUCCAUGGGGAAAUGAUUUCAAGGCCCAUGCAGAUACCAAAAUCCAUGGAUGCUCAAAUAUCUCAUAUAAAGUGGCAUCAGGAGAAGAGAUGGAGUGAGAUGGCCAAAUAAAAGGCUGCAGUAAUUGUCCGCCCAACAGGGACACCAAAUUUAACAACUAUCUACACAAAAAAGCAUCAUCAUAAGAACUAAAAAUCGGGUGAGCACUCAUAGUACCUGGUUUUAACUUUAUAUCACUGAAUAAGGCACUGAAGACAGUCAAAAACACAGUCUUGAAUUACCAAUGCCACUUCUCCUCCAUUGCCCAGUAGUAGGCUAUAUGGUGCAGAGAGAGAAUCUGGGUACUUGGGAGAGGGACAGCACAGUGAUUGAAAGACAUUGCAUUGAACUCAGUGCUGCCCUGGCACAGCAGAAAGCAAAACCUGGUUGAACUCAGCUGAUGCCCGCCCACAGAGGGAGCAUUUAGACCAGACCUAGCCAGAGAGGAAUCACCCAUCAUAGUAGUCAGAGCUUGAGUUCCAGCAAGCCUCGCCACUGCGGGCCAAAGGGCUCUGGGGUCAUAAAUAAACUUAAAAGGCUGUCUAGGCCACAAGAACUGCAACUAUUAGCAAGUACUAGUGCUGAGCUGGGCUCAGAGCCAGUGAAUUUGACACCAGCUACGGUUGCUAAAGGAGCACUUAUGCCACCCCUCCCCCAACCCUAGUUUGCACAGUUCGAGGCUCAAAAAGAGAUCCCUUCCAUCCACUUGAGGAGAGGAGAGGAAAGAGUAAGGAGAACUUUGUCUUGCAGUUUGGAUACCAGUUCAAAAAGAGUAGGAUAGGGCGCUGUUAGAGUUGUGAGUCCCACGUUCUAGAUCCUAGCUCUCGGAAAACAUUUCUAGAUACAAGUUGCUUCAGAAGGGAACCCACUACCUUGAAGGGAAGGACACAGUCCUGGAAGGAUCCACUACCUGCUGACUAAAGAGCCUUUGGUCCCUGAAUAAUCACUAGUGAUACUCAGGUACUCCAUAAGCCUUGGGUGAGACUCUGAAAUGUGCUGGUUUCAGGUGAGUCCCAGAACAUCACAAGUGUGGUGGCUACAGUGAGAGACUCCAUCUGCUUGAGAAAAGCAGAGGGAAAAAAGGGGGACUUUGUCUUGUACCUUAAGUACCAGUUCAUCUACAAUGGGGUACAGCACCAAAUGGGUUCAUGGGGUACACAAUUUUAGGCUUUGAAUCUUGGACAGUAUUUCCAUUUUUGCCCUGGGUCAGAAAAGAUCCAACUGCCAUGAAUGAUGAGUCUCAGGCUUGGCAGCAUUCACCACAAGCUGACCGAAGAACAUUUGGGCUUUAAAUAAAAAUCAAUGGUAGCCCAGCAGUUCUCCCCAUGUGUCUGUUGUGGUGGUGGCCAUGGGGUGAGGCUCCUCUGCCUGUGGAAAAGGAAGGAAAGAGUAAAAAGUACUGUGUCUCAUGGUGUGAGUGCAAUUCAGCCACAGUAGAAUCAAAAAUCAAGUAUAUUUCUGAAGUUUUUGACUCCCAGAAUGUGAAGACCAAAUAAAUACUUAACUCUCUGAUGCCCAGACGCCAACAAACACUCAUGAGCAUCAGUACCAUCUAGGAAAAUAGGAUCUCAUCAAACAAACUAAAUAAAGCUUCAAGGACCAAUCCUGGAGAAACAGAGAUAUGUGACCUUUCAGACAGAGAAUUUAAAAUAGCUGUUUUGAGGAAACUCAAAGAAAUUCAAGAUAACAAAGAGAAGCAAUUCAAAAUAAUAUCAGAUAAAUUUAACAAAGACAUGGAAAUAAUUUUAAAAAAUCAAGCAGAAAUUCUGGAGUUGAAAAAUGCAAUUGACGUACUGAAUAAUGCACCAAAGACUCUUAAUUGCAGAAUUAAUUAAGCAGAAGAAGGAAUGAAUGAGCUUGAAGGCAGCCUAUUUGAAAAUACAGAGUCAGAAGAGACUAAAGUAAAAAGAAUAAAAAACAGUGAGAUGUGUUUACAUUAUAGAAAAUAGCCUUAAAAGGGCAAAUCUAAGAGUUAUUGGCCUUAAAGGGGAGAUGGAGAAAGUGAUAGAAGUAGUAAACUAAUUCGAAGAUGUGAUAACCAAGAACUCUCCAAAUCUAGAGAAAGAUAUCAAUACCCAUAUAGAAGAAACUUAUAGAACACCAAGCAAAUUUAACCCAAAGAAAACUACCUCAAGGCAUAUAAUAAUCAAACUUUCAAAGGUCAAGGAUAAAGACAGGAUUCUAAAAACACAAGGGAAAAGAAAAGGAAGUAAAGAAUGAUAUACAAUGGAGCUCCAAUAUGUCUGAUAGCAGACUUUUCAAUAGAAACUUUACAGGACAGGAGAGAGUGGCAUGUCAUGUUUAAAGUACAGAAGGAAAAACAAACAAACACAAACAAAAAAGCCUUUUACCCUAGAAUAUCAUAUCCGGUGGAAAUGUCUUUCAAACAUGAACGAGAAAUAAAGACCUUACCAAACAAACAAAAGCAGAGGGAUUUUAUCAACAUCAGACCUGUCCUAAAAAAAUAAUGCUAAAGAGAGACUAUAUAAUCAGAAAAAAAGGAUGUUAAAGAGUGAUAAGAAAUCAUCUGAAGGUACAAAACUCACUGGCAAUAGUAAGUACACAGAAAAGCACAGAAUAUUAUAAUGCUGUAAUGGUUGUGUACUCAAGUACAAAAACUAAAAGAUGAACCAAUCAAAAAGAAUAACUACAACAGCUUUUCAAGACAUAAACAGUAAAAUAAGCUAUAAAUGGAAGCAACACAAAGUUAAAAAGCAGGGUGACAAAAUUAAAGUGUAGAGUUUUUACUAAUUUUCUUUUUGCUUGUUAGUUUAUUUAUGCAAGCAGUGCUAAGUUGUUAUAGCUUAAAAUAGUGGGUUAUAAGAUAAUAUUUGCAGCUUCAUAGUAACCUCAAAUCAAAAAACAUACAACAGAUACACCAAAAAAAUAAAAAGCAAGAAAUCAAAUCACACCAUCAGAAAAUCAUCUUCACUAAAAGGAAGACAGGAAGAAAGGAAAGAAGAAAGAGAAGACUACAAAACAACCAGAAAACAAAUAACAAUGGCAAGAGUAAAUCCUUAAGUAUGAAUAAUAAUAUUGAAUGCAAAUAAACUGAAUUCUUCCAGAAAAUUACAGAAUGGCUGAAAAAAUUUAAAAAAAAGACACAAUGAUCUGUUGCCUACAAUAAAUACACUUCACUUACAAAGAUACAUAUAGACUAAAAAUAAGAGGAUAAAAAUAGAUCUUUCAUGCCAAUGGAAACCAAAAAAAAAAAAAAGCAAGAGUGGCUAUCAGAUAAAACUAUAAAGAAGAAACAAAGAAGGUCAUUAUACAAUGAUAAAGGAGUCAAUUCUGCAAGAGUAUAUAGAAAUUGUAAACAUAUUUGCUCCCAACACUGGAGUACCCAGAUAUAUAAAACAAUAUUAUCAGAGACAGAGAGAGAUACCUCAAUAGAAUAAUAGCUGGAGACUUCAACACCCCACUUUGAGCAUUAGACAGAUCUUUCUGACAGGAAAUCAACAAAGAAAUGUUGAACAUAAUCUGCACUAUAGAGCAAAUGAACCUAAGAGAUAUUUACAGAACAUUUCACCCAACAGCUGCAGAAUAUAGAUGCUUUUCCCCAGCACAUAGAUCAUUCUCAAAGAUAAGCUGUGUUAGGUCACAAAACAAGUCUCUUGUAUGUUGUGUGUACAACAUACACAAAAUUGAAAUAAUAUCAAGCAACUUUUCUGACCACAGUGGAAUAAAACUACAAAUAAAUAAGAGGAAUUUUGCAAACUAUACAAAUCAUGGAAAUUAAUUGCUUCUGAAUGACUGGUUGGUCAAUGAAGAAAUUAAGAAGGAAAUUUAAAAUUUUCUUGAAACAAGUGAUAAUGGAAACCCAACAUUCCAAAACCUAGGGGAUACAGCAAAAGCAGUAAUAAGAGGGAAAUUUAUAGCUAUAAAUAUCUACAUCAAAAAAAGAAAGAAAAAACUUCAAAUAAAAAACUUAAUGAUGCAUCUUUAAAUAACUAGAAAAGUAAGAGUAAACCAAGCCUAAAAUUACUAAAAGAAAAUAAGUAACAAAGAUCAAAACAGAAUUACAUGAAAUUAAAAAGAAUAAAAUAAUACAAAAAAUUAACAAAACAAAAACUUGUUUUUUUUUUGAAAAGCUAAACAACAUUGACAAACCUUUAGCCAGACUAAGGAAAAAAAAGAGACCAAAAUAAAUAAAAUUAGAGACGAAAAAGGAGACAUUACAACUGAUACUGCAUGAAUUCAAAGGAUCAUUAGUGGCUGCUGUGAGCAACCAUAUGCAAAUAAAUUGAAAAAUCUAGAAGCAAAGACAGUAAAUUCCAUUUCAUUUAAUCAAGAGAACUUCAGCAGAAGUGUAGUAUAGCAUCUUUGAUAACUCAAUAAGCCCCAAAUCAAUUUUCUUCUCUGUGUAAUCAGAAAAGUUUUAUUUAUUCCAGAAAAUUGACAUUGUUAGGUGUGAUCUGCCUCAACUUUUCAGUAACUACCAGUAAUAAAUCUGCAAACAACUCUCUCCCUCUCUCCACACACACACACACACACACACACACAAACACACACAGAUCAUUUCCUCCAGUAUCAGAAAUUUAGGUGCAGCUUCUCUUAUUCAUGGCCAACACUUCACCUUUGCUCUUAAAUCAGACUCUUACAUAUUUUCUGAUACUUUACUCCAUCAGUAAUUCCCAUUCCCAUUUAGUUGGUGCUUUUUACAGUUUAGACUGCUCCACUCCUGAAAAUUAAUUUCCAGUUCUAGAGUCCUGCUAGUCACCUUCCCAUCUCUUCUUUCUUCUUUUCUUUGCAGCUGUACUUCCUGAAAGAUUAACUAACCUUUCCUAUUUCUUUCUUUCUUUUUUUUUUUUUUUUUUUUUGAGCUGGAGCCUCGGUCUGUCACCAGGCUGGAGUGCAGUGGCGCGAUCUCGGCUCACUGCAACCUCCAACUGCCUAGUUCAAGUGAUUCUCCUGCCUCAGCCUCCCAAGUAGCUGGGAUUGCAGAUACGUACCACCAUGCCCAGCUAAUUUUUGUAUUUUUUCAGUAGUGACGCAGUUUCACCAUGUAGGUCAGGAUGGUUUCGAUCUCCUGACCUUGUGAUCUCCUGCCUCGGCCUCCCAAAAUGCUGAGAUUACAGGCGAGAGUCACCGUGCCCAGCCAACAUUUCUUAUUUGUAAUUCCUCAACUACUAUUCUCUUCUUACCUCCUUAGCUUUAGAAUCUGAUUUCAUUCUCUACUGCUCUAGAGAAACUAUUCUCACUAAAGUUGCCAAUAUCUUCCUAAAUGCCCAAGUAGGCAAUUUCUUAUUUACUCGGAACUGUGGUGCAUGUGACAUUAUUGGCUACUUAUUCCUCAAGUUUCUCUCUUCUCUUAAAUUAUAAAACUCCUCCUUUUCCUCACACGUCUUAUUUUAACUCAGAGUUUGAUAUUGUAUCCUCUAGGAAAUCUUCUUCCAUUAAGCCAUGUCUUCUACCCUGUGCUUUUCUCAAUAAGCUCUCUUUAGAAAAAUAUUACUACUUUUGUAUUUUUUAGUGAAUAUAUUACUGAUAGAUAGCAAACAUCCACAAACAUAACAGUACAUAACUGUACGACUUGAUAGACUUUCAGAGUGAGCACACUCAUUUAAUCACCACUCAGGUGAUGGAUUGUAACAUGACCACAAACCGGAAGUCUUUAUCAUGCACCUGUUCAGGCAAUACCCAGUCCUAACUCGAAAAACCACUACUAUGCAAAUAGAAAUACACUAUCCCGUAACAGUACAGAGUAGUUUUGCCUUUAUAUAGACUGGCUCAUUCAGUAGGUAGUCUUUUGUGUCUGGCUCUUUUGCAGUGUUAGAUUUUUGAGACUCUUCUAUGCUUAUGUGUGUAAUAGUUUUUGCUAAUUCUAACACAAAUGAUUCUUCCAUUCUACUGCUGAUAAAUGUUGAUGAUUUAGUUUUGGGCUACCAUGAAUUAUGUUGCUUUGACCAUUCUUAUGCAUAUAUUUCAUUACCCGUAGGUACACCUAUCUGCUAGAUGUAUCUCUAUCAGUAAAAUUUCUGGAUGAUAGGAAAUGCAGAUGUUUAGCUUAAGUAGACAUGGCAAAGAGUACUUCAAGCUGGUUAAAUGAAUUUACACUCCCAACAGCAGUGAGAGUUCCAGUUGAUCCACAUCCUUGGAGCAUUUGAUAUGAUCUCCAUUUUUUAUUUUAGUCAUUUUGGUAGAUAUGAAGUGCUAUGUCAUUGAGGUUUUAAGUUGCAUUACUCAUGAUAUCGAACAUUUUGCAUAUGUUUAUUAGUCUUUGGAUAAUGAAGCAUAAGUUUAACGCUUUUGUUUACUUUUCAAUUGAAUUGUCUGUUUUUUAACAAUUUUUAAGUCAUUUUUAUGUUCUGGUUGUCAAUUAUGC
rnacentral:lncRNA from 1 species